rnacentral:rRNA from 1 species
AGUGAACGUUGGCGGCGUGGAUUAGGCAUGCAAGUCGAGCGAGAACCGUAGCAAUACGGGGACAGCGGCGAAAGGGACAGUAAUGUGUAGGUACCUACCCCGAGGUCUGGGAUAGCUGCGGGAAACUGCAGGUAAUACCGGAUAAUGUCUUCGGACCAAAGGUGUGAUUCCACCUUGGGAGGGGCCUGCAUCCUAUUAGCUAGUUGGCGGGGUAAUGGCCCACCAAGGCAACGAUGGGUAGCGGGUGUGAGAGCACGACCCGCGUCAUUGGGACUGAGACACUGCCCAGACACCUACAGGUGGCUGCAGUCGAGGAUCUUCGGCAAUGGGCGCAAGCCUGACCGAGCGACGCCGCGUGCGGGAUGAAGGCCUUCGGGUUGUAAACCGCUGUCGUAGAGGAGGAAAUGCAGGGGGGUUCUCCCUUCUGUUUGACCUAUUCUAGGAGGAAGGACGGGCUAAGUUCGUGCCAGCAGCCGCCGUAA